CUGAGUGACUGGAAGGGGUGGAGCCUGAAUCCGUCUCUCCUCACUCCCAUUUCAGGGUUAAUAGCAGAGGGAGCAGUAUCUCUCUGGAUAGAGAUUGUAUUUCUCUCAAGCUGUCACUGGUUGUGAGAAGGGGUGAGCUGAUUUUUAGUCUUAAAAUAACUUUGCUAUGAAGCUUAAUACAAGUUUCUAUGCCAAAGUUGUGGCCUUGAAUAAAGAGCCAGAGAGGGGAACCUUGGCUGCAAGAGGUUUGUUAGACUGACAUGAAGCCCUUCAGGAAACACAUGAAGAUGGAUGAGACCUACUGAAACUUCUUCCGCGUUCUCUUUCCUCUGGAAGUCUUAUCAGUGUAUAUCACUGCCUGAUUGUGAAAUGGAAAUACAGAAUCAAGAUACGUUGCUCAGGAAGAUCACAGUUUCUUUCAUUACUUGCAAAACUAUCCGCGAAAGGACAGGACAGUUCCUCAAGAAGGCUGCUUUCCCAUCCAAAGAACUGCAAAAUAGAAAUGAGAGAGAAGCACAACAGAAAGUAGACAAAGAAGUAAGAAAUAAAUUUGGUGUUGUUAAAGAUAUAAGAAUACAUCUCAAGAGGAUAAAUCCCAGUGAACUUAAAGAAGAUUUUGGCAAAGCUUAUACAUUUAAAUGGAAGUUCCCCAAGAAGGCUGCUUCUCCAUCCAAAGAAUCGCAAAGGAGAAUUGAGAGAGUAGCACAACAGAAAGAAGACAAUGAACUAAGAAGGAAAUUUGGUAUCAUUAAAGAUAUAAGAAUCCAUCUCAAGAGGUUAAAAUUUUCAUGCAAUUCUAUUGUUCAAGUUGUUUAUCUGCAGCAGAGUUAACAAUCAAUAACAAAUUACUGUUUCUCUUUGAUCUAUUAUCUCUUGUUCAGUCUGUAGCACUCAAGUCACGUUUUGUCAACUGAAUCUUAAACCAAUGUCUACCGCUCCUUCCAAGAUCUUUGAGAAAGACCUACUUUUAUUGUCCCUGGGUGGAAACAACAUUGGUGUACACUCAGCAUUCAUGAAAAAUGUGCUAUAACUGUUUUGUGAAAUAUUUCAAAGCCAGAUAAAGCAAUACUUUCCAGAGUAUGUUAACAGAGCACAGGUAUUAAUUACUUUUCUUUUUUUCCUUUCUUCCAGUACCAAAAUAAAACAUCUGGUGUAAAAAAUAAUAAUAAUAAUAAUUGUGCUUGCUGUCAUUUUUCUCAUUUUCUUUCCCCAGUAAAUAUGCCAAGGCAGGUUCUUAGUUUUGACAGUGUUUCUCCAUCUAUCCACAUUUUCAUUUCUCAACAAGCGUCCCAAAAAUCAAGUACAGUCAAAUACUUAAUGAAACACUUCAUGUUUAUUCUAGAGCUGUUUUACACAGAUGCUUCCACUUGCCUGUCUGAUAUUGAGAACUUUUCAGAUACCAAGUGUUAUGAGAAGUUCUCAUUAACUUUAAUUAUUACUGUCACUACCUUUUCACUAUUUUCUACUUCCAUAUCCUUCUCUUUGUAGAUUAUAUUCAAUUUGUUGCUUUGUCAUUUCUUCAGACUUUGCUCAUUGUAAUUAGAAUUAUUCAAGUAAUAAAAAGAUGUUUUACCUCCUCUAAAUUAUUGAACCUUACCUUUUUCUGGUUUGUGAUCAUUUCUUGAAAAUUAGGUUUGUGUUUAGGUUACAAUACUGGAAUUAAUCCAGGAUUGUUGAUUCUUCCUGAAGCAUAUUACACAUACAAGUUCC
ensembl:lncRNA